rnacentral:misc_RNA from 1 species
GAGAACACUUCGCCCUGCUCCCUUGUUCGUACAUAAGCUCCAGUCGAAGUCUCCUGAUCUUCUCCUUCUUUCUGAGUUCCUGAACACUGCAGUGAGAAAGUAGAAGCGUAAGCUCUGAAAGACAUCUCUUUGGUUUCGGGUGCUUUUUAUUUGGAAGAGAAUGGCUUCUUCUUCAUCUUCAACAACAGAGAGAAGAGGAAUACCGGGGGCUCAAUUUGUACAAGAUGUCGAAACCUAUCUCACCCAAUCU